ensembl:lncRNA
CCGCCGCCGCGCAAGACCCUGCUCCGCGUACCGCCGCCGCGCAAGACCCUGCUCCGCGUUCCGCCGCCCCGCAAGACCCUGCUCCGCGUAACGCCGCCCCGCAAGACCCUGCUCCGCGUACCGCCGCCGCGCAAGACCCUGCUCCGCGUACCGCCGCCGCGCAAGACCCUGCUCCGCGUACCGCCGCCGCGCAAGACCCUGCCCCGCGCACCGCCGGCACGCAAGACCCUGCUCCGCAUACCGCCGCCGCGCAAGACCCUGCUCCGCGUUCCGCCGCCCCGCAAGACCCUGCUCCGCGGACCGCCGCCGCGCAAGACCCUGCUCCGCGUUCCGCCGCCCCGCAAGACCCUGCUCCGCGUACCGCCGCCGCGCAAGACCCUGCUCCGCGUUCCGCCGCCCCGCAAGACCCUGCUCCGCGUACCGCCGCCGCGCAAGACCCUGCUCCGCGUUCCGCCGCCCCGCAAGACCCUGCUCCGCGUACCGCCGCCCCGCAAGACCCUGCUCCGCGUACCGCCGCCGCGCAAGACCCUGCUCCGCGUACCGCCGCCGCGCAAGACCCUGCUCCGCGUACCGCCGCCGCGCAAGACCCUGUCCCGCGCACCGCCGGCACGCAAGACCCUGCUCCGCAUACCGCCGCCGCGCAAGACCCUGCUCCGCGUUCCGCCGCCCCGCAAGACCCUGCUCCGCGUAGCGCCGCCGCGCAAGACCCUGCCCCGCGCACCGCCGGCACGCAAGACCCUGCUCCGCAUACCGCCGCCGCGCAAGACCCUGCUCCACGUUCCGCCGGCACGCAAGACCCUGCUCCGCAUACCGCCGCCGCGCAAGACCCUGCUCCGCGUUCCGCCGCCCCGCAAGACCCUGCUCCGCGUACCGCCGCCGCGCAAGACCCUGCUCCGCGUACCGCCGCCGCGCAAGACCCUGCUCCGCGUAGCGCCGCCCAGCAAGACCCUGCUCCGCGUACCGCCGCCCAGCAAGACCCUGAUCCACGGCCUAGAGUACAAUGCGUUUAUUGUUAACAGCCUGGAAGAUUUAUAACGCAAGACUUUACAGUUCCACUGGUAACCAAGUGGCUUUAUUCAUCAAUAUCCAACAACAUGGAGGAUACAACACUGAAAUCUUUGUGGCAGAACAAACAAAUCCCUUGACUUAGAGAAUAUGCUGAGUAAUGAUGAGUAGUGGCUUGGGGAGCGAAUCCCAGGUUGUUGUGAAACAUUGUUGUUGUGAGACAGAAAUGAGCUUAAUGAGAGGUCUGCAGAGCAAGGCAAAGUUAAAACUAGUAAAAAAGGGAGAGUGGAAGACAUAUGUUUGAUGAAGAAACAACUGAAACAAGAUUUGGGUUCAAUGGAGUUAGCUAAUACAAUACUCUCUGCUGUAGUUUGGAUUCUAACUUCGUGUUGUGCGAGAUUCCAUCUUUGUUUCUCACAAUUUAGGAGUCCUGAAUCACUAGGAGGGAUGGGUGACAGACCCUCCCAUAUACUUCAGAGAGUCCAAGGAAAGGUGAGUGACAGACUGUGACAUACAUCAGAGAGUGCAAGGAGAGACUGCCUUGGGUUCAGAGUAAGAUUAUUGGACACUGCUGGUUCCUGAUUCACCACAGCCAAGUAGAGGUGGUUGACAGACUAUUUCACAUACAACAGGGUGUAUAAGUAGACUUGGGUAACAGACUCUGCCACAUAAAACAGAGAGUCCAAGGAGUGGUGGGUGACAGACCCUCCUACAUACAACAGAGAGUCCAAGGAGGGAUGGGUGACAGACCCUCCCACAUACAACAGAGUCCAAGGAGGGAUGGGUGACAGACCCUCCCACAUACAACAGAGAGUCCAAGGAGGGAUGGGUGACAGACCCUCCUACAUACAACAGAGAGUCCAAGGAGGGAUGGGUGACAGACCCUCCCACAUACAACAGAGAGUCCAAGGAGGGAUGGGUGACAGACCCUCCCACAUACAACAGAGUCCAAGGAGGGAUGGGUGACAGACCCUCCCACAUACAACAGAGAGUCCAAGGAGGGAUGGGUGACAGACCCUCCCACAUACAACAGAGAGUCCAAGGAGGGAUGGGUGACAGACCCUCUUACAUAUAACAGAGAGUCCAAGGAGGGAUGGGUGACGGACCCUCCCACAUACAACAGAGAGUCCAAGGAGGGAUGGGUGACAGACCCUCCCACAUACAACAGAGUGUCUUAGGGGAGGUGGGUGACAGACCCUCCUACAUACAACAGAGAGUCCAAGGAGGGAUGGGUGACAGACCCUCCCACAUACAACAGAGUCCAAGGAGGGAUGGGUGACAGACCCUCCCACAUACAACAGAGUCCAAGGAGGGAUGGGUGACAGACCCUCCCACAUACAACAGAGAGUCCAAGGAGGGAUGGGUGACAGACCCUCCCACAUACAACAGAGUGUUUUAGGGGAGGUGGGUGACAGACCCUGCCACAUACAACAGAGUGUCCAAGGAGGUAUGGGUGACGGACUCACAUACAUCAGAGUCCAAGGAGGGAUGGGUGACAGACCCUCCCACAUACAACAGAGUGUCUUAGGGGAGGUGGGUGACAGACCCUGCCACAUACAACAGAGUGUCUUAGGGGAGAUGGGUGACAGACCCUGCCACAUACAACAGAGAGUCCAAGGAGGGAUGGGUGACAGACCCUCUUACAUACAACAGAGUCCAAGGAGGGAUGGGUGACAGACUCACAUACAACAGUCCAAGGAGGGAUGGGUGACAGACCCUCCCACAUACAACAGAGUGUCUUAGGGGAGGUGGGUGACAGACCCUGCCACAUAUAAAAGAGAGUGGCUUUAUUCAUCAAUAUACAACAACAUGGAGGAUACAACAUGGAAAUUCAUUGUGACAUUAAACCCUCUGCCCUAGUCCCUGCCACCGCCCUUCUUGUUGCUCCACAGCCAGCCCCUGCUCCGCGUACUGCCGCGGCGCGAGACCCUGCUCCGCGUAACGCCGCCGCGCGGUAUCCAAGUGGCUUUAUUCAUCAAUAUACAACAACUUGGAGGAUACAACACUGAAAUCUUUCUGACAGAUCAAAGAAUCCUUGACUUAGAGAAUAUGCUGAGUAAUGAUGAGUAGUGGCUUGGGGAGCGAAUCCCAGGUUGUUGUGAAACAUUGAUGGAAGAGACAGAAAUGAGCUUAAUGAGAGGUCUGCAGAGCAAGGCAAAGUUAAAAAAAGUAAACAAGGGAGAGAGGAAGACAUAUAUGUUUGAUUAAGAAACAACUGAAACAAGAUUGGGGUUCAAUGGAGUUAGCUAAUACAAUACUCUCUGCUGUAGUUUGGAUUCUAACUUUGUGUUGUGCGAGAUUCCAUCUUUCUCACAUUUUAGGAGUCCUGAAUCACUAGGAGGGAUGGGUGACAGACCCUCCCAUAUACUUCAGAGAGUCCAAGGAGAGCGUCACAGUGCAUUUCCCUGUUGAUGCCGAGCGUCAAUUGACUUCAAUGGGGCUUCUUAAAACUCGCCCACGGACUCUCAUCGUCUCUGGGGGUGAAUUAUGAGUGGGCUGGCCCUGAUUCCAGGCUUCCGCAUGAUUGGAGGAUCUGACGAUCUGUCAAACUGCAUUCCUUUUGACUGACAGCGGUCUACUAUAAGGUGUCACUGAAGCUGUUUAGCGCUCAGUCCCACCGCGGAUUUCUCAAGCGUAUUCGAAAGACGUCUGCAAUAUUUAUUCAUAUUUGUUUGGCGAAAUUGCUAGCUGAUUUGCAUCAUACAUUUCACACAAUUAUCUGCUGCACCACGUGAUCCUUGUUUCAGUUUUACAAAGUUUUUUUUUUUUAUCAGUCAUUCAUAUUCAAUAGUAGGCUAGGCUAGCGUUGUACGCGGGUGAAACUGCGCACGAUGGCAGACAGUGCUAAUAUUGUCCUGAUUUUAGCGAGGCCAUUUGGAAGUCUUCCUUACGAGGAACAUUUUUUAAUUAAACAGCAGGUAAGAUCAACUCCUAAGAUUGAUCUUUUCAGCUCUCCUGGUAUGACAAAGUUAUUUGGCUGACUGGAAGUGCUGUGACAAAUAAAAUGUACUGCUGGCCAAAAAUAAAUUGGUAACCCUACGACACAUUGAAAAUGUGUACACACACACACGUAGUGUUAUCACGUUUUGGGGGGACUUUCCAUAGACACAAUGAUUUUUGUACUGUACAAACUGUAUAUUCCUAUCUCUUACACUGACCCUACCCAUCACAGAAAACCUGCAUUUUUACAUUUUCUAAUAACAUCACUUAGUAUGAUUUUUAAGCUGUUUUCCUCAUGGGGACUCAAACAUUUCCCCACACGAAGAAGGAUUUCAGAUAUUGCCAUCCUUGUGGGAACAUAUUGUCCCCAUAUUGUAGGGUUUACCAGGCCACACACAUACACACACUGGCUCUAUAGCCAUCUAGUGGUUAAACAGAAUUUUAAACAGAAUUUCCCCCAAAGAAUUGCUAAAAUCUUACUUUAAACCUUAUAAAAUUAUCCAUGGUAUCCCUAGGAAUGAAAGUUAGAAAUCUGGGUCUUUUAUAAAGUGAAUUCUACGUAAAAUGCAGAUUUUCUUGUAAAAAGCCUAUUGAAAUAAAUAUUUAUGUAUUUAUAGACAUUUUAAAGAUAUCAGAAAUCCUCCAAAAACUGCACAAAUAUUGAGUUAAAACAUGAAUAAACAGAUUCAAAUUAUAUUUGUUAAAAAAAAAAAGUUGUUCUGUUACAAAAUGUAAUGUUAUUGUCUGGGGUCCAAAAGACCCCAAAGACCCCGAGUUUCACUACAAGUGAAGCCCAUCAGAGGGUUAUAAUGUAAGCCGAAAAUGAGCUCCUCUUUGAAAGACCAGCAGCCGCCACUUUUGGUAUGUGACUUUUCAUUCCAAAUGUUUUCAGCUGUGAAAGCAAACAAGGACUGUUUGAUAAAGUGGUUAACUUGAUGUUCAAACAAGAGGGACUAUCUGAAAGAGAGAAAAGCGGAAAAACAUCUACAAGACUAUCAGGAGUAUGGUGAUCCGGUACGCUGACACUAUACAGCAAAAGCUUUCGCGUUCGUUGUUGCUUGCGCUGAUGGAUUUAGAGGACAUUGAAGGUGGAGACGACUUUGAGUCUAUGGCGAGUGUGGACAAGGCUGGUCUCAAACAUAUUCCAGUGGUUACGCAGGACUCUGAAAAACAACCUCGUCUAAUACGACAGCAGCAGGUCCACGAUCGGAACAUAUGGCAAGCCGUUUUAACAUGUAUUCGCUGGACUGGAUAUUUCUUACAGAUAUCUGCAACAUAAUUUCGCCUAGUCAGACCUCCAAUUCAAGAUAUCUAUAACGUCAUUAUGACUAGUUAACGACAAUUGAAGAUAUCUGUAAUUCAGUUUUGACUAGUCAGUUUUGAAUGACUAUUGCCAUUCAUGUCUAUGAGGUUUCUCUUUACAGAUAUCUUUAAAUGAAGUUGCAGAUAUCCGAAAUGUCUAUUGUUGAUAUAUUCAAUCCAAUUAUGACUAUAGUAAUUACAGUUCCAGAUAUCUAUAAUUUAAUUCUGACUAGUCACGAUUCCAGUUCAAGAUAUCUUAAAUCCCCUUAAAUUUAAGAUAUAUAGAUCAUUCUUUUGCGAUAUCUUAAAUAAUGUUUUAAUUAGUCAUAAAUGAAUUUUGAUUGGAGAUAUCUCAAAUUGGAGAUAUAUUUAACUUUCAUUCUGCCAAGUCAAAAUGUAAUUACUGUGUUACAUGUGGGAGUCAGGAGCGGGAGUAAGCUUGCUUGUAUUCAAACAUAUGUAACUACUCUUCCACCGUAUGGCAAGCAUUAACCGCCUUGUCAGACCUGCGUGAGGCCGAAGUUCUAGUUUUAGAUAAAAUAUGUAUGGCUUCAGCCAGUGCACGACAGGCGCUUUUAGCAGGAAAUACAGAAGAUUUACUUUCUUUCAAAAGUCGAUUAAAAAAAAAAACUCUUGUUCACCUCUAAAUCUCAGAUGAUAAGCUCGUUUUAUUUCAUUACAUUUUUUAACUAUCCACAACUGAAACUGCCAUUGCUGCUAACACCGAAAAGCGUUGCUGGACCAAUAUGAUGAUGCCUCGCAUGAGAAACGUCAUGCAAAACAAUUCGAAAUAAGGACAUUUGAGAUAUCUGCAACUAUAAUUUUGACUAGUCCAAACAAAAUUCUGCAAUUUCCAUUUGGGAUGUAUGAAGGUCGAGUGUCGUUUUCAGUGAGGUCACUUCUGAUAUUUGUAAUUCAGUUUUGACUUGUCAAAAUUGACUUACAGACAUCUUUAACUGGUGUUUUGACUAGUCAGAAGAACGUUACAUAUAUCUUGAAUCAAAAUUCUGACUAGUCACAAUGUAAUUACGUCUAGUCAGUAUUACGGUGUUAAUAUCUGUCAUGUUAAUUUCAUAUAGUCAAGUCUAGCGAAUACAUUACGUUAAAAUGGCUUGCUAUUGGAACAAACACUCGUUAUCCCGACAACCGGGAAAGAUUGAGCUGUGGGUGGAUAAAUGAGCCGUGUUUGGAUAUAUGAGCCGUGUGUGGAUAGAUGGGCGGUGGGUGGAUAAAUGGGCGGUGGGUGGAUAGAUGAGCCGUGUUUGGACAUCCAACCAGUGUUGAGUUUACUGUGGUUCAACGUUCUCUUAUCCAAGCAAUGGUAAAUUAUCUCAUUCCAAGUCUGUCUUAUAAAAGCCCUUACACCAGCCACAUCGACGUUGUAUCCUGCGAGGCUUCGAGAGGUACGCGACUGCCUCAACCCAUAAACCGUAGACCACAGUGCAAGAGGGACUAUCCGAAAGAGAGAAAAUAUACAAACGGAAACACAUCUACAAGACUAUCAGGAGUAUGGGGAUCCGGGACGCUGACACUAUAGAGCAAAACCCUUCAUGUUCGUUGUUGCUUGCGCUGAUGGACCUAGUGCACAUUAAAGGUAGAAACGAUUUUGAGUCUAUUGCGAGUGUAGACAAGGCUGGUCUCAAACACGUUCUAGCCUAUCCAGUUGGUGCGCACCGAGGACAAAACCUCGUCUACUCAGAACAACAGUCACGCGCUUAUCUCCGAUGUAAAGGAUACACCCCAUGUGCUAGGCACGCCUUCGGCCGACAUUUUGAAUUAAAAGCGCAAGGCCAGCGUGGAUUGUUUCACCGGAAAUCAAGUGAUAUGUGAAAGGCUUUGAGAAAGGCUCCUGAGCUGUACGUGUCUACCGCGUUGAGGUUUUGCAAAUAAUAGUUGAUUAUGGUUUGUACAGGUUUUAUUGUUGUUUCAUUGUUAUAAUAUUGUAUUGUACGACAUUUUUUAUAUAUAUAUAUAUAUAUAGAAAACCCUUCGAAAAGAAGUCAAAGGACAAAAAAAAGAUAAGAUUGAAACUGAGAUGACGAAACUGUUAACUCUGAUGUGGGGUUAUUUUCAUAAAAUGUUAUUUCACAUUAACCUGAUGAGUAGACGAAACAUCUCACUGUGUGAUCACUUGUAUAUUCAUUGAGAGUUAAUUGAUGAAACAUUAAACCAGGGCUCAUAUUAUUAUCCCAAACAGUCUGUUUGUCUUUGAUUUUUCCACAUUUAAUUGUUAAGAGACCGAUGAACUACACUCUUGCUCUGGCUCCACUACUGUUCCCAUGGUCAGUGCAAUGAGUGGGUGUUGUUAUCUCAUAUUGAGGACAGAAGGACCUGUGGCUUGUCCUUGACUCUCUUGGGAAAAUGAGUGAGCUCAUAGAUCCUUGACUUAGGGAAUAUGAUGAGUAGUGGCUUGGGGAGUGAAUCCCAGAUUGUUGUGAAACAUUGAUGGAUGAGACAGAAAUGAGCUUAAUGGGAGGUCCCUAGAGCAAGGCAAAGUUAAAAAAGGGAGAGAGGAAGACAUGUUUGAUUAAGAAACAACUGAAACAAUAUUGGGGUUUAAUAGAGUUAGCUAAUACGAAACUCUGUGCUGUAGUUUUGAUUCUAACUUUGUGUUGUGCAAGAUUCCAUCUUUGUUUCUCACAAUGUAGGAGUCCUGAAUCACUGAUACACCUUGUCCAAUGAAGGGGUACCUUACACCUGUGGUCCAGAUCAUUCCAAGGCCAAACCCAGCCCAGACCUAUGAGAGACUCCCUUGGGUUCAGAGUAAGAUUAUUGGACACUGAUGGUUCCAGAUUCACCACAGCAAAGUAGAGGUGGGUGACAGACUCACAUACAACAGAGAGACCAAGGAGAGACAACAGAGUCCAAGGAGAGGUGGGUGACAGACUGUGACAUACAACAGAGAGUGUCCAAGGAGAGGUGAGUGACAGACUGUGACAUGUACAACAGAGAGUCCAAGGAGAGGUGAGUGACAAACUGUGACAUACAACAGAGAGUGCAAGGAGAGGUGGGAUACAGACUCUGCCACAUACAACAAAGAGUGGCUUUAUUCAUCAAUAUACAACAACAAGGAGGAUACAACACCAAAAUUAAUUGUGACAUAAAACCCUUUGUG